GACGAACGCUGGCGGCGUGCUUAACACAUGCAAGUCGAACGGAAAGGCACUGCUUUUGUGGGGUGCUCGAGUGGCGAACGGGGGAGGAACACGUGAGUAACCUGCCCUUGACUUUGGGAUAACUUCAGGAAACUGGGGCUAAUACCGGAUAGGAGCUCCUGCUGCAUGGUGGGGGUUGGAAAGUUUCGGCGGGUGGGGAUGGACUCGCGGCUGAUCAGCUUGUUGGUGGGGUAGUGGCUUACCAAGGCUUUGACGGGUAGCCGGCCUGAGAGGGUGACCGGCCACAUUGGGACUGCGAUACGGACCAGACUCCUACGGGAGGCAGCAGUGGGGAAUAUUGCACAAUGGGCGGGAGCCUGAUGAAGCAACGCCGCGUGCGGGAUGACGGCCUUCGGGUUGUAAACCGCUUUCGCCUGUGACGAAGCGUGAGUGACGGUAAUGGGUAAAGAAGCACCGGCUAACUACGUG
rnacentral:rRNA from 1 species